UUCCUACGGGGCGCAGCAGUGGGGAAUAUUGCACAAUGGGGGAAACCCUGAUGCAGCGACGCCGCGUGAGUGAAGAAGUAAUUCGUUACGUAAAGCUCUAUCAGCAGGGAAGAAAUACUGACCUUACGGUCAGCAGACGGUACCUGAGUAAGAAGCCCCGGCUAACUACGUGCCAGCAGCCGCGGUAAUACGUAGGGGGCAAGCGUUAUCCGGAUUUACUGGGUGUAAAGGGAGCGUAGACGGUGCAGCAAGUCUGAUGUGAAAGGCCGGGGCCCAACCCCGGGACUGCAUGGGAAACUGU
rnacentral:rRNA from 1 species